rnacentral:rRNA from 1 species
GACGAACGCUGGCGGCGUGCCUAAUACAUGCAAGUAGAACGCACAGUUUAUACCGUAGCUUGCUACACCAUAAACUGUGAGUUGCGAACGGGUGAGUAACGCGUAGGUAACCUGCCUGGUAGCGGGGGAUAACUAUUGGAAACGAUAGCUAAUACCGCAUAAUAUUGAUUAUUGCAUGAUAAUUAAUUGAAAGAUGCUAUUGCAUCACUACCAGAUGGACCUGCGUUGUAUUAGCUAGUAGGUGAGGUAACGGCUCACCUAGGCGACGAUACAUAGCCGACCUGAGAGGGUGAUCGGCCACACUGGGACUGAGACACGGCCCAGACUCCUACGGGAGGCAGCAGUAGGGAAUCUUCGGCAAUGGACGAAAGUCUGACCGAGCAACGCCGCGUGAGUGAAGAAGGUUUUCGGAUCGUAAAGCUCUGUUGUAAGAGAAGAACGGGUGUGAGAGUGGAAAGUUCACACUGUGACGGUAUCUUACCAGAAAGGGACGGCUAACUACGUG